CCUACGAGAGGCUGCAGUGAGGAAUAUUGGUCAAUGGGCGCGAGCCUGAACCAGCCAAGUCGCGUGAGGGAAGACGGUCCUAUGGAUUGUAAACCUCUUUUGUCGGGGAGCAAAAGACGCCACGCGUGGCGUUCCGAGAGUACUCGAAGAAAAAGCAUCGGCUAACUCCGUGCCAGCAGCCGCGGUAAUACGGAGGAUUCAAGCGUUAUCCGGAUUUAUUGGGUUUAAAGGGUGCGUAGGCGGUCUGAUAAGUUAGAGGUGAAAGCCUGAGGCUCAACUUCCGAAUUGCCUCUGAUACUGGUCGGCUAGAGUGUAGUUGCGGUAGGCGGAA
rnacentral:rRNA from 1 species